UGCUUUACACAUGCAAGUCGAGCGGCAGCGCGGGGGCAACCCUGGCGGCGAGCGGCGAACGGGUGAGUAAUGUAUCGGAACGUACCCAGUCGUGGGGGAUAACUAUCCGAAAGGAUAGCUAAUACCGCAUACGUCCUGAGGGAGAAAGCGGGGGACCGUAAGGCCUCGCGCGAUUGGAGCGGCCGAUAUCGGAUCAGCUAGUUGGUAAGGUAACGGCUUACCAAGGCUAUGACGGGUAGCUGGUCUGAGAGGACGACCAGCCACACUGGAACUGAGACACGGUCCAGACUCCUACGGGAGGCAGCAGUGGGGAAUAUUGCGCAAUGGGGGAAACCCUGACGCAGCAACGCCGCGUGGGUGAUGAAGGCCUUCGGGUCGUAAAGCCC
rnacentral:rRNA from 1 species